GAUGAACGCUGGCGGCGUGCCUAACACAUGCAAGUCGAACGGACAGGCGCGGCUUUUGUUGGGUUCUCGUUUGGCGAACGGGUGUGUAUCACGUGAGUAUCCUGCCCUUAUCUUUGUGAUAACUUCAGGAAACUGGGGCUAAUACCCGAUAUAAGCUCCUGCUCCAUGUGGUUGGUUGGUAAGUGUCGGCUUUUGUGGAUGGACUCGCGGCUUAUCCACUUGUUUGUGUGGUAGUUGCUUACCACGGUUUUGACGGAUAGCCGGCCUGAGAGGGUGAACGGCGACAUUGGGACUGCGAUACGGACCAGACUGGUACGGGAGGCAGCGGUGGGAAGCAUGGCACAACGGGGGGACGUGUGAUGCAGAAGUGCCGCGAGCGGGAUGACGGCCUACGGGUUGUAAACAGCUUUCGCAUGUGACGAGGAGUGAGUGACGGUAAUGGGUAAAGAAGCAACGGCUAACUACGUG
rnacentral:rRNA from 1 species